UGCAGUUUUUCUAAGAAUGCUUUACCUAAUGGCCUUUGCCAAAGAUAAUCUUGGUGGGAUUGACAAUCUGGUGAUUUGCUCAUGGGACCCAGCACUGGUGGCUGACUGGUGAGAAGAACACAUUGAAUGGGGAUUCAAGGUAGCAUAAGAAAAGGCACUCCUGACCCCUCAAGAGUACUUCCUAGAACCUUGAAGUGGAGAUAAAAAACCUUGCUGACUAAUCAGAACAAAGGGGAACUGAGAUAAGGGUUUCCUGAAUGUAUGUGAGCUUUUGGAAAUGAUUUUUUUUCCUUUUAAAAAAAUAGGGAAAGAUUUUUCUAAAAAGUUUCAGGAUAGGAAAGGAAAAUAAAAGAAAGCAGCAGAUUGCAUAGGUAAGAAAGAAAAGAAAUAAUCAGUAGGAACUUGAGUAUCCUGACAGUAUACCCUUUAUCUCCAAAAAUUUGACUACAACCAAGGAAAACUGCCUUGAGGCAAAAUCUUUGGUGAAAAGACAACAGGGCCUUUGGCCAAGGAGUUUACAGCUGUCCUUUGAUGUGAUUUGAAAGUCAAUGUCAAUAAAUUCAUAAAGGAAAGAG